rnacentral:rRNA from 1 species
AGUCCAGACUCCUACGGGAGGCAGCAGUGGGGAAUAUUGCACAAUGGGGGAAACCCUGAUGCAGCGACGCCGCGUGAAGGAUGAAGUAUUUCGGUAUGUAAACUUCUAUCAGCAGGGAAGAAAAUGACGGUACCUGACUAAGAAGCCCCGGCUAACUACGUGCCAGCAGCCGCGGUAAUACGUAGGGGGCAAGCGUUGUCCGGAUUUACUGGGUGUAAAGGGCGUGCAGCCGGGAAGACAAGUCAGAUGUGAAAUCCCGCGGCUCAACCGCGGAACUGCAUUUGAAACUGUUUUUCUUGAGUACCGGAGAGGUCAUCGGAAUUCCUUGUGUAGCGGUGAAAUGCGUAGAUAUUAGGAGGAACACCAGUGGCGAAGGCGGCCUGCUGGACUGCAACUGACGUUGAGGCUCGAAGGCGUGGGGAGCAAACAGGAUUAGAUACCCCAGUA